rnacentral:lncRNA from 1 species
AGUAUAUACACGAAAAAAUGAGUCCACUCCUUCACGGGAAGAUAGAUAGAUAGAUAAUACUUAUAAACUUCUAUUUGAAAUUUGACAAUGUUAAUUAGUUUGUAUUGUAUUAAUAAUGUCUAUUUUACACGACAUUUUUCUAAAUUUUACAAUAAAUUGGAACCUCUUGCUUUAUAGAAGCAAUGCAUUCGCGUAGCAAUACUUACCCCACGUAAACACAUAAAGAUAAAAUUCUGGUAUAGCCGUGCAUAUUUGUAUACUAUGAAUAAGUUAAUAACACGAGUCAUCCAGCAUUGUUUACAUCUAUAUACUGUUUUUUGUAAUAUCUUAAAUCAGC